rnacentral:misc_RNA from 1 species
GNUCAUUACUGAGUUNACCGCUCUNAACCCUUUGUGNAAUACCUAAACCGUUGCUUCGGCGGGCGGGCGGCGACCCCGCCCCCCCGGCGCCGUCAGGCGCGCCCGCCGGAGGAUAACCAAACUCUGAUGCAACGACGUCUCUUCUGAGUGGCACAAGCAAAUAAUCAAAACUUUUAACAACGGAUCUCUUGGUUCUGGCAUCGAUGAAGAACGCAGCGAAAUGCGAUAAGUAAUGUGAAUUGCAGAAUUCAGUGAAUCAUCGAAUCUUUGAACGCACAUUGCGCCCGCCAGCAUUCUGGCGGGCAUGCCUGUUCGAGCGUCAUUUCAACCCUCAAGCCCUGCUUGGCGUUGGGGCCCUACGGUUGGCGUAGGCCCUCAAAGACAGUGGCGGACCCUCCCGGAGCCUCCUUUGCGUAGUAACACAAACGCCUCGCACUGGGACCCGGAGGGACUUCCGGCCGUAAAACCCCCCAAAUUCUUUAAAGGUUGACCUCGGAUCAGGUAGGAAUACCCGCUGAACUUAAGCAUAUCAAUAAGNNGGAGGAA